rnacentral:rRNA from 1 species
CCUUACGGGUGCAGCAGUGGGGAAUAUUGGACAAUGGGCGAAAGCCUGAUCCAGCCAUGCCGCGUGUGUGAAGAAGGCCUUCGGGUUGUAAAGCACUUUCAGUGGGGAAGAAAGCCUUGGGGCUAAUACCCUCGAGGAAGGACAUCACCCACAGAAGAAGCACCGGCUAACUCCGUGCCAGCAGCCGCGGUAAUACGGAGGGUGCGAGCGUUAAUCGGAAUUACUGGGCGUAAAGCGCGCGUAGGCGGUCUGAUAAGCCGGUUGUGAAAGCCCCGGGCUCAACCUGGGAACGGCAUCCGGAACUGUCAGGCUAGAGUGCAGGAGAGGAAGGUAGAAUUCCCGGUGUAGCGGUGAAAUGCGUAGAGAUCGGGAGGAAUACCAGUGGCGAAGGCGGCCUUCUGGACUGACACUGACGCUGAGGUGCGAAAGCGUGGGUAGCAAACAGGAUUAGAUACCCGAGUAGUC